AUCCAAUUGGGUUGUUUUGUUGUUGUUGUUAUGUUUUAUUAUUAUUCCAGAUUUGACCACUGUUUUCCAGAUCCAAAUUAUUCCAUCCAUGAGUCUACCAUGUGGAUAAGCCCCUAGAGGUAAUACUGGGAGAAGUGUAAAUCCUACAGAAUCCGAAUGGCUGUCAGAAGAAAGUAUGGCCUGAGCCAAAAGGCGAUUGCAUAAGUACAAAGGUUAAGCUUGACUCCUACUAAUGGAAGGAGAGGUCUUGUGAGCAGGUAAAACAAGUUUUUUAAAGCCUGAUUCUUCAUUCCUGAACCGUGUGCACAUCAUGCAAGUCAGACCCGCCAUACAGAUUUGACCACUGUUUUCCAGAUCCAAAUUAUUAUUGUUGGAGAAAUCACAUUGACCCUUUAGAAGAACAGAUUGAUUUCCCCUCCUCUCAGUUGUGGGGGUAAGGAAUCUCACAAAUAAUGCUAUAGGUCACAGCAGUGAGGAAAGCAACCUAGUCAAGCAUCCAGACACUUGCUGGUGAUAAUUACAACCACUGGCCCCUUGCAGAGUGUCUCUUCCCUGUGACUCAACAGUAUUGCGACCCACCUCCGGUUAUUUGUUUGCUCCGAUACCUGGAGAUCCUCCAACUAAGGUGCAGUGCCUGAAACCAGAAAAGAGAAUUGGAUCCCUUGGACCUGGAACUACAUACAGACAGUUGUGAACUUCAGUGUGGAUUCUGGGAGCUGAAUUCUAGCCUUCUGCAAGAGGAACAAGUGCUCU